CCUACGGGCGGCAGCAGUGAGGAAUAUUGGUCAAUGGACGAGAGUCUGAACCAGCCAAGUAGCGUGAAGGAUGACUGCCCUAUGGGUUGUAAACUUCUUUUAUAUGGGAAUAAAAUGUUCCACGUGUGGGAUUUUGUAUGUACCAUAUGAAUAAGGAUCGGCUAACUCCGUGCCAGCAGCCGCGGUAAUACGGAGGAUCCGAGCGUUAUCCGGAUUUAUUGGGUUUAAAGGGAGCGUAGGUGGAUUGUUAAGUCAGUUGUGAAAGUUUGCGGCUCAACCGUAAAAUUGCAGUUGAAACUGGCAGUCUUGAGUACAGUAGAGGUGGGCGGAAUUCGUGGUGUAGCGGUGAAAUGCUUAGAUAUCACGAAGAACUCCGAUUGCGAAGGCAGUUCACUGGACUGCAACUGACACUGAGGCGCGAAAGUGUGGGUAUCAAACAGGAUUAGAUACCCCUGUAGUC
rnacentral:rRNA from 1 species